rnacentral:rRNA from 1 species
UACGUAGGGUGCGAGCGUUGUCCGGAAUUAUUGGGCGUAAAGAGCUUGUAGGCGGUUUGUCGCGUCUGCUGUGAAAAUCCGGGGCUCAACCCCGGACUUGCAGUGGGUACGGGCAGACUAGAGUGUGGUAGGGGAGACUGGAAUUCCUGGUGUAGCGGUGAAAUGCGCAGAUAUCAGGAGGAACACCGAUGGCGAAGGCAGGUCUCUGGGCCACUACUGACGCUGAGAAGCGAAAGCGUGGGGAGCAAACAGG